rnacentral:rRNA from 1 species
AUUGAACGCUGGCGGCAUGCCUAACACAUGCAAGUCGAACGGAAACGAUGGGAGCUUGCUCCCAGGCGUCGAGUGGCGGACGUGUGAGUAAUACUUAGGAAUCUGCCCAGUAGUGGGGGACAACUCGAGGAAACUCGAGCUAAUACCGCAUACGCCCUACGGGGGAAAGCGGGGGAUCUUCGGACCUCGCGCUAUUGGAUGAGCCUAAGUCGGAUUAGCUUGUUGGUGAGGUAAAGGCUCACCAAGGCGACGAUCCGUAGCUGGUCUGAGAGGACGAUCAGCCACACUGGGACUGAGACACGGCCCAGACUCCUACGGGAGGCAGCAGUGGGGAAUAUUGGACAAUGGGCGCAAGCCUGAUCCAGCAAUGCCGCGUGUGUGAAGAAGGCCUGCGGGUUGUAAAGCACUUUCAGUAGAGAAGAAAAGCCUAGGGUUAAUACCCCUGAGUCUUGACGUAACCUACAGAAGAAGCACCGGCUAACUCCGUG